GCGGUGGAGCAUGUGGUUUAAUUCGAUGCAACGCGAAGAACCUUACCUGGGCUUGACAUCCACGGAACCUUAUGGAAACAUAGGGGCGCCCUUCGGGGAGCCGUGAGACAGGUGCUGCAUGGCUGUCGUCAGCUCGUGCCGUGAGAUGUUGGGUUAAGUCCCGCAACGAGCGCAACCCUUGUCUUUAAUUGCCAUCAUUAAGUUGGGCACUUUAAAGAGACUGCCGGUGUUAAGCCGGAGGAAGGUGGGAUGACGUCAAGUCCUCAUGGCCUUUAUGCCCAGGGCUACACACGUGCUACAAUGGGUGGUACAAAGAGCAGCGAACUCGCGAGAGCAAGCAAAUCUCAAAAAACCAUCCUCAGUUCGGAUUGGAGUCUGCAACUCGACUCCAUGAAGUUGGAAUCGCUAGUAAUCGCGGAUCAGCAUGCCGCGGUGAAUACGUUCCCGGGCCUU
rnacentral:rRNA from 1 species